GAUGAACGCUGGCGGCGUGCCUAAUACAUGCAAGUCGAGCGAACAGACGAGGAGCUUGCUCCUCUGACGUUAGCGGCGGACGGGUGAGUAACACGUGGAUAAUCUACCUAUAAGACUGGGAUAACUUCGGGAAACCGGAGCUAAUACCGGAUAAUAUAUUGAACCGCAUGGUUCAAUAGUGAAAGACGGUUUUGCUGGCUCUUAUAGAUGGAUAUGCGCCGCAUUAGCUAGUUGGUAAGGUAACGGCUUACCAAGGCAACGAUGCGUAGCCGACCUGAGAGGGGGAUCGGCGACACUGGAGCUGAAACACCGACCAGACGCCUACGGGAGGCAGCAGUAGGGAAUCGUCCGCAAUGGGCGGAAGCCUGGCGGAGCAACGCCGCGUGAGUGAUGAAGGUCUUCGGAUCGUAAAACUCUGUUAUGAGGGGAGAACAGAUGUGUAAGUAACUAUGCACGUCUUGACGGUACCUAAUCAGAAAGCCACGGCUAACUACGUG
rnacentral:rRNA from 1 species